rnacentral:rRNA from 1 species
ACGCUCGACACCUACGGGAGGCAGCAGUGGGGAAUAUUGCACAAUGGGGGAAACCCGUGAUGCAGCGACGCCGCGUGAGCGAAGAAGUAUUUCGGUAUGUAAAGCUCUAUCAGCAGGGAAGAAACUGACGGUACCUGACUAAGAAGCACCGGCUAAAUACGUGCCCGCAGCCGCGGUAAUCUGAGCGGGCUGGCAAGGC